rnacentral:lncRNA from 1 species
AAAUAACCAAACAAUGAAUUACAAUUUGAAAAAUACGACGAAGAUUUUACUUCUAUUAUUUAUUUUGCUAUGAAGACGAUAACCUUGGAAUAGGUAGGAUUUGACCAUGUGAUCUCCCUUUAUUAUGGGGACAAAAGGAGUUGGCAUUUAGUAACAUAAAAAAAAAAAUCAUAUUUUUCAAAAAUUAGUUGAGAAAAAUGAGGGGACUGUUAGCGAAAGAGUCUAAGAUUUACAACACACGUCUCAUCAACAACACAACACUAAGUUUUUUAAAAUUAAACUUCAGAUCAAAACUAAUAGCAAGCUAAAAUAGCAAUAUUGAACCAAUCAUGAUACAAUAAAAAUAAAAAUAAGUCUUACAGAUCGAAGGUCACAGUAAGAAUCAGUUUCCUCUAUUGGGUCGGUUUCUUCUUCGCCGUGGUGUGCUUUUUAUUCGUACUAAUUUCCAAUGAUAAAAGGCAAUUUGAAUUAAUUAGCAUGCCAAGUGUGUUCAUACUUCAUAUAAUGUUCUUCCAAGUAGCCUUUAUAUAUAUACCGAAGAUUACAGAAAUUUACCUUUUUGUAAUUAAUUAGACGUGUUGGCUUGAGAAACAACUAAAAAAUCUUGAGCAUAAAAAAUCCAAGCCCAUGACAGGCUAAUAAUUAAAAUCUAUAAUCAAGCAAGAAAACUUCAAGAUGAUCUAAGAAAUAAAAUAAACAUGUUAUAUUUUUUUAUCCAAGGCCAAAAAAGAAAAAAGAAGAAGAAGAGAAACCAUACCUAUGCAAUUACUCAAGUCAUAAUAACUAUAGAACUUUAACAUGAUAUGUUUGAAAGGCAACCAUACCUAUGCCAAGUGUUUCAACCUUUAAAAGGGGAAUAGUGGUUCUAUGACAUCGAGACUCUCUUGCAGUCAAGAUGAACCCCACACAUCUCCGCACUUCCACUGAAGGAGACCUCAAUUCUGUCUCCACUUUUCAUUGAGAUUGGUAUCCGUAUAGAAGUCACCCGGCCAUGCAUGAACUCCAGUGGCCGCUGGUACAGAGCCCCUAUACAUGAAUUGACUACCAUCUAUUUUCAUUACUGAUGACAGCUUGAAUCUCAUAUUCAAGUAUGCCUCCAAAAACAACCCAGAGAGCCAUCCUCAAGAAAUUACUUUUAACAUCCCCCGACAUCUGAAAUGAGGUUGAAUAUGUUGUUCUUUGAUGACGGAACCUAUCUCAAAUGUAAACUUCACAAUCAUCAAGUACAGAGCAAUCCUGUUAGGCUGUUACAUAAAGAACAAUUUAAGAAAAAGAAGAAAAUUACAACAACAAAAUGAAAAAAAAGAAAGAAAAAAAAAACCCUUACCUGCAUGACACUCCGUAUGAAAUUUGAUAUCAAAUCGCUACAAUCUGUGAGAAUUAAUGUGCGCAGGUUCGCCGUGGUCUGCUUCUUCUUUGAGUCUGAUCCUGGAUGUUCAGCCUUUGGGUCAGAUUCUUCUUCGCCGUGGCCUGCUUCCAGUUGUUAUUUGAACGAAUUUGAACCCCAAAGUUGAAGAUAAGAUAAAAUUCUAGUUGUUAUUUGAACGAAUUUGAACGCCAAAGUUGAAGAUA